GGUGGAUGACUUGGCUUUAUAGCUGAUGAAGGAUGUGACUAACUGCAUUAAGCUCCGGUGAGUGGUAUGUGCACUUUGAGCCGGAGAUCUCCGAAUGAGACUUCUCAUCAGAUCCGUAAGGAUAGGUAACGCAGGGGAUUGAAACGUCUUAGUACCUGCAGGAAAAGAAAUCAAUUGAGAUGCUGUCAGUAAAGGCGAUUGAAAGCAGCUCAGGGCAAACUGAAUCCUUUGCUGAAAGGCAAAGGAGAUGUGGUGUGGCUGUCCUUAAUCCUCUCUAGGGAACCUGAAUUUUCCUGGAAUGGAAAACCGCAGAGGGUGAUAGUCCCGUAAGGGUAACUUAGAAGGACUUGGACAGUUCAAGAGUACUGUCUACUGGAUACUAGACAGGAACGUGGGAGGCAUCAACUUCCAACCCUAAAUACUUAUAAAGUCCGAUAGCGCACUAGUACCGUGAGGGAAAGUUGAAAAGGACCCUUAACAGGAAGUUAAAAGAUCCUGAAACCUAAUAGCCAUGGACUGAUAGUGCAUUCCGAUGUUCUAUCAUGCGUUUCGAAUAACGUACCAGGGAGUGUAUCUGAGUGGCAAGGUUAAUCUCAUACGAGAAGCCGAAGGGAAACCAACAUAUCCGCAGCUUGCGAGGGAUGAGGUAUGAAAGUGCCUGGAGUCACUUGGAUACGACCCGAAGCCGGACGAUCUAUUCCUGGGUAAGGUGAAACAAGGGUAAAACCUUGUGGAGGCCUGAAGAGGUUCUACGUGCAAGUGUUCUUCUAACUUGGGAAUAGGGGUGAAAAGCCAAUCGAGUCCGGCGAUAGCUGGUUCCUGCCGAAGUUGGCCGUAGUCAAGUCUCAGGUGAGAUUGCUAAGAAGGUAGAGCCACGGAUUGGAGAUUUAGGAUUCGAAAGGAUUCGGUCUCUUGUCCAACUCCGAAUAUCUUAGUAUCUUAGAACCUGGGAAACGGGGAGUCAGGGGUAAGCUUGGCUUCCGAGAGGGGAACCACCCAGACUGCAGUUAAGGUCCCUAAAUAUUGGUUCAGUGUGAAAGGGUGAAGAGUGUCUGUAGCCCAAGACAGCGAGGAGGUUGGCUUAGAAGCAGCCACCCUUUAAAAAGUGCGUAACAGCUUACUUGUCAAGGUUGCAGGUCUCUAAAAUGGACGGGGCUAAACCAAUUACCGAUACUGCGGGUUUCGAGAGAAGCGGUAGGCAGGUCUUCUAUCGGGGUAGAAAUGAUUUCGAAAGAAAUUGUGGACCUGAUAGGAAAAAGAAUCCUGGUGGUAGUAGGAUCAUAGCAGAGUUGGAAUCUCUGUCGCCAAAAGGGCAAGGGUUCCUUGGCAAUGUAGUUCAGCCAAGGGUUAGUUGAUCCUAAUCAAAUUCCUAAGGGAUAUUUGAGAAAGGGAAACAGGUUAAUAUUCCUGUACUAUCUGGAUAUAUGCGGUGACGCAAGUCUGUUUUCUGACGGUUGUGGCUAAGCUGACAUAAACCAUCGUUUAUGUUAAUGAGGAUACAUCAGGGGAGUAUUGUAAUGAUGAGAACCUGAUUAAACCUCAGAAGAGCAGACCUAUGGUCUGUUCAGCUGAUGCCCUGACCCCAUGAAAAGGGAAACAGGAAAGAUUCCAGAUAAUCAUACCCAGAACCAGCACUGGUGCCCCUAGGUGAGAAGCCUAAGGCGUGAAGGUCUAAUCUGAUUGAGGGAACUCGGCAAAUUGGCCCCGUACCUUUGGUAUAAGGGGUCCCUGCGAUUGUAGUCCUAUGACUGCGGUUGCAGGGCGCAGUGACUAAGAGGGUCCGACUGUUUAACAAAAACUUAGCCUUCUGCUAGCCUGUAAAGGUGUGUAUAGAAGGAGACGUCUGCCCAGUGUCAGUACUUGAAACUCCUUUUCAAGGGAGCUAAGAGCUGGUAAACGGCGGGGGUAACUAUAACUCUCUUAAGGUAACGAAAUGCCUUGCCGUUUGAAUGACGGCCUGCAUGAAUGACGUAACGAGAUCCUCACUGUCCCCAAUCAGAAGCCUCCGAACACAUCAUUCUGGUGCAAAGACCAGAGAUCUCCAGUGGGAAGUGAAGACCCCGUGAAACUUUACUGUAGCUUGUUGUUGCGACGUGAGCUCUGUUGUAUAGAGUAAGUGGGAGUCGUUAUGGUAUGGCCGCCAGGUCAUGCAUAGACGCCAGUGUAACACCACUCUUCAGAACUCGCGCUGCUAACUGGGAGCAAUUCCAGGACAUCAAUAGGUGGACAGUUUGGCUGGGGAGGCACCCUGCUGAAAUGGUAUCAGUAGGGCCCAAUGGUUGGCUCAAUCCGGUCAGAAAUCGGAUGUAGAGUGCAAGAGCAAAAGCCAGCCUUAUUGGGAUUGUAACAAGAUCAAUUCCAACCAAGAAAUUGUGGUCUAGCGAACCUCUAAGUCCUCAUUGAUAGGGGCUAGAGAUGACCGAAAAGUUACUCCGGGGAUAACAGAGUUGUCGCGCCCGAGAGCUCAUAUCGACGGCGCGGCUUGCUACAUCGAUGUCGGCUCUUCCUAUCCUGGCCGUGCAGAAGCAGAUGAAGUGCUCUAAGCAUCUUUGUCUGUUGUUAGCGGCCAAGGGUGGGGGUGUUCACCCAUUAAAAGGGAUCGUGAGCUGGGUUCAGAACGUUGUGAGACAGUUUGUUUAAUAUCUACUGGAGAUGUGUGGUGUCUGAAAGGAAGGGACUUUUAGUACGAGAGGAACGAGGUCUCGACGCCUCUGGUCAACCUGUUAUCCGAUAGGGUAUGCAGGGCAGCUACGCGUUAAGGGAUAAGAGCUGAAAGCAUCUAAGCUCGAAGCCUGCCUUUAAAAGAGACACCUUAGA
rnacentral:rRNA from 1 species